rnacentral:rRNA from 1 species
CAGUAGCCACGGUAAAACGGAGGGUGCAAGCGUUAUCCGGAUUUAUUGGGUUUAAAGGGUCCGUAGGCGGACUUAUAAGUCAGUGGUGAAAGCCUGUCGCUUAACGAUAGAACUGCCAUUGAUACUGUAAGUCUUGAGUAUAUUUGAGGUAGCUGGAAUAAGUAGUGUAGCGGUGAAAUGCAUAGAUAUUACUUAGAACACCAAUUGCGAAGGCAGGUUACCAAGAUAUAACUGACGCUGAGGGACGAAAGCGUGGGUAGCGAACAGGAUUAGAUACCCGGGUAGUCCCUGUCUCUUAUAC